CUCAAGAAGGAGACCAAACAUAUGCAGUGAUAGAAGCUAAAUUUUGAGAAGGGAGGUGCUCUUCUUCUUUCGAUUGUCUCCGGCCAGAGCUAGUGUCGAUCUUCUCUAAGCUCCUGCCUGCUUUACCAUCACUGCAUGGUAAGUUAAUGGCUUUAACUAUAGUGACACUUCAAUUUCACUAUGGGGGUUGUUUUGUAACUGGUCCUACUGUAAGGUAUGCCAAUGGAAUCACUAGUCUUGAAAAGAUUAAUAUAGAUGUAGAUGAGUUGCAUAUUAUGUUGUUUCAUAAAAUAACACUAAAAUUGAGUGUUGAAAAUGUUGAGCAUUUGGAUGUAGAGUCAACAAGAAGGGUGGUUAUUACAUGGUAAAUACUGAUUUUGACGUUUUAAACUUUCUUAAUGGUUUGAAGGGUGCUGAUUUUGUUUAUGUAUAUGUUGUAUAUCCCAUUAGUAUAUCUUUAGUUGUUGAGGAGAUACUUAUAUUGCCUAGCACUAAUGUUGAUGUGUCCUCCUCUCUACAAAAAGAUAAUGCUGAUGUGUCCUCCUCCCCACACAAAAAUAGGGCUAAUCUGUCAUCCUCCCCACAAAUAAAUAGGGUUGAUCUGUCAUCCUCCCCACAAAUAGAUAGGGCUGAUGUGUCUUCAUCUCAACCAUUUGAUGAAAAUUAAAAUAAGCAUUUAAACCAAAAUCAAUCCCCUAUAGUUGAAGAGAAGUCCCCUAGAGUUGAAGAACAUUCUGAUUCUGAUUCACUCUAUGAUGUUGAUGAAAAUAUUGAUGAUUUGAGUAAUUUGGAUGAGGAGUUACUUCAAGCUAGGCAGUCUAACAUUCAAGAACAAGUUAAAGAUAAGGCUGAUAGAGUAAAUCCAGAUGAGAUACCAUCUGGUCCUGUAUGUAUAGAUGCUGGUUUUGAAGACAUUUAUAAGAAGAAGAGGGGGAGAUUUGAAGGCAAUUUGGGUGGUGAUGACCCUUAUUUUGAUAGCUCAGAUCCUAAUAGUGACAUUAGUGAAGAUGAAGGGGAUCAUGUUGAGAAUGAUGAAGUGGUAGAUCCAGUACCUAGGAAGGAAACUACAAAGAUCUACUUUGAUCCAACUGCUAAAAAGGUUUUAUUUCAAUUGUAUAUGGUUUUUUUUAAUCAUAUUGAGUUCAGGGAGACACUGCAAACUUACUCUAUUCAGAAGAGUGUGAAUAUUAAGUUGAAACCUAAUGAGAAGGAAAGGAUAAGGGCAAAGUGUAAGAAAAAUUAUUGUCCUAGCAUAUUCUUGGAAGUAUUGAUGGUAACACUGAAAACUUCACUUUUAAAACAUAUUUUCCUGUCCACAAGUGUUUUAAAAGAAUAAGAAACAAACUGUGUACCCCCAUUUGGAUUAGUAAACAUUACAAGGAGAGGAUUAUGAGUGAGCCUACCAUCAAACUACAUCAGAUUUUGAUACAAAAGCAAUAUGAUUUGUAUGUUAGUAAGACAAGUUGUAGAAAGGCAAAACUGAGAGUUAUGAAUGAACAUUUGGGAGAUUUCAGAGAGGAGUUUGCCAGGUUGUAUGAUCAUGCUGAGGAAUUAAAGAUCACAAAUUCUGGAACUAUUGUAUCUAUUAGGACAUCCAAGAACACAAUUUCAGGAAAAGAGGUGUUUAUGAGCAUCUAUAUUUGCCUUGGUUCCUUAAAAAUGGAUGGAAAGAAGGGUGUAGAAGGAUUAUUGGUUUAGAUGGUGCAUUUCUCAAAAGUGUAUGUAAAGGUGAGCUGUUAUCUUGCAUUUCCGAAGAUGGAAAUAAUCAUAUGUACCCUAUAUCAUGGGCAGUAGUUGAUAAAGAAACCAAUGACACAUGGUCUUGAUUUCUCAAGUGCAUCAAACAUGAUUUGGAGCUUACAGAAGGUGAAUGACUAACAGUGAUGUCUGAUAUGCAGAAGGAUCUUGAUCUUGCACUUAUUGAAUUAUUGCCAAAUGCUGAAAUUAGAUGUUGUGCUAGGCAUAUAUAUGAGCAAACUUGAAGAAAGACUGGAGGGGUGAAGAAAGGAAAAGAAAAUUAUGGCAGGUUGACAGGGCAUCAUUUGAGGUCCUUUUACAGGUAAAACUUGAUGACAUGAGUUAGUUAGGACAAGGCAUUGUAGAAGAUUUGUUAAAGUAUAACAAAGAAGCAUGGUGUAGGGCAUUUUUUUUUAAAGAACAUAGCAAGUGUGAUGUGGUUGAGAACAACAUCUGUGAGACUUUCAACAGUUCAAUUUUAGGUGCUAGGUUCAAGUCAAUAAUCACUAUGCUAGAAGAAAUAAGAGUCAAAGUUAUGGAAAGAAUGAAUCAAAUGAGAGAAUUUUCAGAAAAAUGGAUUACUGAUGUAUCACCAAUGGCUAUGGAUAUUCUUAGAAAAAAUGUUGAAAUUACAGAUAAUUGUGAGGUAAAGUUUAAUGAUGAUCUUGGCUUUGGGAUUCAUGAUCCACCAUAUAGUGAUGAGCCUAUUAAGAAGAAGUUUGGAAAGGCAACAAGGAAGGGAAGAAAAAUGAAAUGUUUCGAGUGUAAGACUUUUGGGCAUAACAAGAAAGGAUGUCCAACUCUGAAAAAUGCUGGAACUUCAAAUAUUGGAACAAGUGUUGCAACUGCUAGAACAAAUGUUGUAACUGUUGGAACAAGUGCUGCAAUUGCUGGAACAAAUGCUGCAACUUCAGAUUUUACAAAUGCUGCAAUUGGAAGCCAAUCAAGUGUAAAUGCAGGUCCAAGUGCUGCAACUGCCUCAACACUUGCUGGAAGGCCUACAAAUGUUUCAUCAAGUGGUGUGAGGCAUGCAACUACCUCAACAAUUUGUGGAAGGCCUACAAAUGCUUCAUCAAGUGGUGUGAGGGCGGCUGCUGCCUCAACAUUUGGUGUGAGGCCUACAACAACUCCUUUAAGAACUCAACUUCUAGUGUAGCUGGCCAAAAAAGAAAGACUAGCACAGCUUUGAGAGGUGGUGCAACUCUUGUAUAUAAGAGACCAAGAUAAAAAAGAAAAGCAAAGACAACUAGUUAUGGUAUCUUAUUUGGAUCAGGUGGCAGUGUAACUAAGAGGUCUGGAAAUAUUGAUAGGGUGUUACAUAGUGCUACAUUGUCAAGUUCAACUCCUACGAAUAUUGAUCUUGGUUACAAACCCAAUGGACUAAGGUGGAAGGGAAGAGUUGCAGUUACUCAAAGGCAGCUACGAGAUGAGCAACCUACACCUCUCAUGCACCAUCUGUAUGUUUUUUAAAUUAGUCCUAUGAACUUCUAUGUAAAACUGGUGUAUUUAGUGUUUGUGUUUUUGAAUAGCAUAAGUUUAUUAA